GCCGAAACUGAAAGAUGCAACAUAAGACCUGCCUAGUACCCCAGCUAUGCAUGGCCAUUCGUGUCCUUGAGCAUUGUCAUGUGCGGGCUUUUUAAUAGCUCAGAGAUCGCUAAAAACACCGAGAAAAAAGGAAUCGUUGAUCUCAUGUUCUGUCUGCCACAUGGAUGGGUAUGCGUUCCAUUCGUUAGGUUUUUAUAAUUUUGAUUGGCCCUCUUCCCGUUCGAUUAUGGGGAAGAAUGGGGAAGAGAAACACGCAACUGCCAAUAUGGGCUCCAGUAAAGAUGUCUACAACAGUGCUGCAUUCAUGUUCGACUCCUUAAUAUUGUGUUGGAGCAUUGAUAAUCAAUACUAUGUAAUGAAAUUUUGACUGGAC